rnacentral:rRNA from 1 species
CCAGACUCCUACGGGAGGCAGCAGUGGGGAAUAUUGCACAAUGGGGGAAACCCUGAUGCAGCGACGCCGCGUGAGUGAAGAAGUAUUUCGGUAUGUAAAGCUCUAUCAGCAGGGAAGAAAAUGACGGUACCUGACUAAGAAGCCCCGGCUAACUACGUGCCAGCAGCCGCGGUAAUACGUAGGGGGCAAGCGUUAUCCGGAUUUACUGGGUGUAAAGGGAGCGUAGACGGCAUGGCAAGUCAGAUGUGAAAGCCCGGGGCUCAACCCCGGUACUGCACUGGAAACUGUCAGACUAGAGUGUCGGAGGGGUAAGUGGAAUUCCUAGUGUAGCGGUGAAAUGCGUAGAUAUUAGGAGGAACACCAGUGGCGAAGGCGGCUUACUGGACGAUUACUGACGCUGAGGCUCGAAAGCGUGGGGAGCAAACAGGAUUAGAUACCCGCGUACU